GAUGAACGCUGGCGGCGUGCCUAAUACAUGCAAGUCGAACGCUGAAGGAAGGAGCUUGCUCUUUCCGGAUGAGUUGCGAACGGGUGAGUAACGCGUAGGUAACCUGCCUGGUAGCGGGGGAUAACUAUUGGAAACGAUAGCUAAUACCGCAUAACAGUAGAUGUUGCAUGACAACUAUUUGAAAGGGGCAAUUGCUCCACUACCGGAUGGACCUGCGUUGUAUUAGCUAGUUGGUGAGGUAACGGCUCACCAAGGCGACGAUACAUAGCCGACCUGAGAGGGUGAUCGGCCACACUGGGACUGAGACACGGCCCAGACUCCUACGGGAGGCAGCAGGAGGGAAUCGUCGGCAAUGGACGGAAGUCUGACCGAGCAACGCCGCGUGAGGGAAGAAGGUUUUCGGAUCGUAAAGCUCUGUUGUAAGAGAAGAACGAGUGUGAGAGUGGAAAGUUCACACUGUGACGGUAUCUUACCAGAAAGGGACGGCUAACUACGUG
rnacentral:rRNA from 1 species